CUCGGGCCUGCGUCGCAUCCAACUUACUCCAAGUUUUCUGGCUCAACUCCGAAUGGAUUGGAUUGCGAGUCUGCACGUGAGAAAACCGUUUGGCUUGGCUUGGACCCCUGCCGCCCCCCACCUCCUCCACACACACCCAGUCCAGGGGUCCCCUUUAUCACCCUUUGCUUGCAACUCCAAAAGAAGUUGCCCACCUCCUGAGUCACAACACAAGGUCGAAUAAUUCCUCUAGAUGAAAGAUCAGUUUCAUUUCAAAACGAGAAUAGGUUCCUUUUUUUAUUUUCUCCACAUGGUACAAAAUAAACAGAAUUUGCUUUAAAAAAAAUCAUUAGCUGUGGCCAAAUUCGAAUUCCUUCUACAGCCUGUGUGUUCAAGGGCAGAAACAUUGUAUCUCUUCGGGCAUCUGGGCCGCCAAGCUGAGCGGGGGGAGGGGGGAGCGGCUGUGAAAGUUGAGGAAAUUGACAGACUGAGAGGUGAAUGGGGGGACAGGCACCAGGUCCUGGCUGGAGGGAAUUGGAAAACAAAAGUGCAUCCUUCUCACCCUGCCUGGGUGGAGGGAAUCCUGAGGGAGGUAGUUUGUUUUGCCCAUGGAAACCCCAAAGAAUUAUUUUUCCCCCUUCAAUGUUGAUUGCAAUAUUAUUUCACAUUUCCGUGUAUCUGUUGUUUUAAUCUCUUUCGUCUGCGCUAAUCUCGAAGUGGAUUAUUAAUGGGGAAGACAGAGAAGGAGAGAUUCAUUUGCAGGACUUAUUUUGCUGUGUGAGGAGCCGAAAGCCAGCAGCCCCCAGUCCUC
rnacentral:lncRNA from 1 species